rnacentral:misc_RNA from 1 species
UUCAGUUGUUGGCCCGAGUACUUCUCGGCCAUUGUCGGUUUCUUGUGCUGGAUACCUACUGGGAGGGCAUUCUUCGGUCGGAAAUGAUGGGCUUCCGCCUUUCGCUGCGCCCAACGUGGAUGCGGUGUCGGGUGGACCUUGAAGCACGCUUCGUGAACCAUGCCCCUUGCACAACAAUGUGCUCGGGUUGUUGGUCCAUGCUGUCGUGCGCGAACUCUCGGAUACGGAACCUUGUGCGGGCACGAGGUCCUUGGCCUCUAUCAUGCCCAAACUUCGAGCGUCCUAUGCUUCGUGCGAAAGACUGCCGCUUGCGUGUGGAACGGGCCCUUGCGGCUUUGCUCAUGCGCUUGCGGUGUCCGUUGGGAA